CACACAUUUAAAAAAAAAAAAUAUUUGUUGACCAGUAAAUUUUAAAAUACUAACUUAAAAAACAUAAUAAUAAUAAUAAUAAUACAAUGGAAAAUAAAAAUAUUAAAGAAAUAGGGUACCAAAAGCACAUUUCAGUGAACCAAGACUGUCACUGAGGCCUCCAAAAAAAGAAAAAAAAAAGGUACAUGCCCAGCAAAAAGGUCUUUGACAUCCUCAAGGAAACAAAAAAAUAAGUCAAAACCUUGUGCACAUGCACUAAUAUGAAUAAUCUCUCAAAUUAAUGUGUAUAAUGCUUAAAAACUCAGUCCGACAUUCACCAGGCAAAGGUCAUCUCGCAAAGGCCCAGUGGACACGGAUCGUGUGCCAAGCUGACGCAUUUAUUCUUGCAUUUCAAAUGUGCUAUCAAAAGGCAGAAGGAUGCAGGAAACCUCCAGACUCUUGCCUUGACAGAGUUAAAACCGCAGGUCGCCCUCAUGCAAUCGCAGAGACCAGAACUGCUGUGACAGGUUUUCUCCUUGUGCUCUUCCUCAGUGCUGUUCCAUAAAAGCUCACGCGCUUUGACGCUAAUGUUUUUCCGAAGCCCUCCCUUAACGACGCUGAAAUAAAGUCCUUCCCCUGAGGAGACACUGGCAUUAGAGUCAAGCCAAGUCGUGAUAGUGCCACCACCGCGGCACCGGUUUAUUCGCAAGCGCUCGCUGCCACUAUUGACUUGGCGGAUUAGCACGCCACGCAUGAGCCCUCCUCGGCCCCCACCGCCAGGAUCCAUGAGAACAGAAUGGGGUCAGAGGCGCGUUAGGGCAGAACACACUUAGAUGCACCAGAUUAGAUUAUUUGAAGCCCUUUGCCGAGCUCUCGUCCUGACAACAAAUAUCCCCGGGCCACUCGGAGAUGGUCACUGGGCGACUGCUCGCGACGUGGCAAAAACAAUGUGUUGAUUUUGAUCUAGCGUGGAGCCGCUCCCUCUGUCCAUAGCAGUUAUGUAAAUAAACAUGUCAUUCGGGAGGUUAAAGCUAAUUUCAGACCCUCCGUUUUAGAUUAUGUCAAAGAAAGAGGAGCAGAAAAACAUGCUUGUGACCUUUCGGCUAAGGCUGUCUGUGUGGCUAAUUUACAAGUGCUGUGUUAAAGUCCGGGGUCAGGCAUUUUAAAUGGCCGGGCAUUUUUUCCAUUGCCUGUUUCAUUAAAAAAAAAAAAAGCAUUGUGGGCUUCGGGACGCGCAACUCUCCGGAUCUGACCUCUACAUCACAGAGGCAUGCUCUGUUAAAUUAGUUUGAUGUGUUGCCCUGAGCACAUGUAGCAUUUAGUCUAUUGUCCACUUUCACCUCACAGCUCUCGCUUUUAACCCUUUGCAUUUAAUAACAGGGUCCUAAUGGAAAUCUACAUCUCAGAACGAUGGACUUGGUUGCUGAGCGAGAGAGCAGCGUUUCGAAUCCAGAGCCAGCCAAAUGUGGGUUUUGUCUUCCCUUUAAUCUCCUCAUCCAUCCUUUCACUCCUUUUUCCCCCCUUCUUUGUUGUUCUCAUCAGAAAGCGAGAUUUGCAUUGCUCUUCGGUGUCCUAUCCUAUCUCUUUUGUUCUCGCUCUCUCUCCUGAUUUGACUGGAUUGUGGAAGAGAGAUGAUUGUGUAGCCUCAGGUAAGAUUUUGUAGCUUUACAUAUCAAAGUCACUAAAUAUCUUAUUCUCUCACACACGGGUGUAAAGGGAGGGGGCUUGUCGAGGGGGGAAGUUCCAAGCCAAGUUUUUUACGGGGGAUUGUUUGCUUUAGCAUGUGAGGAGAACAAAUCCAGCGAAACAAAAGGGAUUACGGAGCAGUGUCGCUGUUGUGUUAUUUAUCUAUUCCGCUUCUUUCUCUUUUUUUUUCCAGGGCGAUGCGUCAAUGUCAGGAGAAUCAACGUGCAGACGCUCGGUAAACACGGGAAACUAAACAAGGUGUUUGUAAAUGGCAAAAAAUGGGGCUGAUCUCUCAACUCUUUCUCUUUUGUGCGCUAACAUCGCCGUCUUUCCCUCUAACUGCUGAGGAAAAUACAUAGCCGGUGUGAUUUAUCAUCUAUACAUAAUGUAAUAUCGCAUGAGCUUCAACGGCUCAAUCAGUUAUGUUAUUUCAAGAUUAAACUAUUAAAUAAUCACAUCUAAUAAAAUAUCUAUAUGAUUUCGGAUUCAUUUUCCAUACUGAGAAUCAAUCAACAAACAAUGUCCUUUGAAUUAAUUUUUCAAGAGACUUAGAGCUCAAGUGAGGAAUGAAAAUCGAGAUGGAUGUACAAAUUCAAACGAUAAAAGAGUUACAUUUUAGAUUUUAGUAGAGAAAACAAAUAGUUUCUGUACCUAACUUUGACAAAUAAUUACAUGCACUGCUUCAUAUUCUAAAAGCAUUUCCUUUAAACUAUUUUGGGCUCGAUUUAUUCCAAUCGCAGUUGUUUAUUUCCAGGCCCUGGGAACUUGUCUAUGAUGUAAAGAUUGUGAGGGCUACAAGACAUAAUGCUAUUGAUUUGCCUGUGAAUCGGGUGGACAGCGACCAUGCUGCAAUCUGGGGCAACGUCAGAGCAUGUGUGCGUACCACAUCAGAGCUCUGCAGAGAGGACAUGACAAUGUUUUGAUACGGUCAUCAUGUUCUCAUGCCUGAUGCCCUGUAAUUCCUCUGUGACAGAGCCGAGACAUAAUGAGAUCCAUAUGGGGCUGCUAGAGACCGCCAGAUCAGCACUGGAGAUAGACAGGACCAAGAAAGGUCCAUCCGCAUGGCUCUAUCAAACCAGCAUCAGUGUCAUGCCUGCAGCCCGUUCACUGACUGUCUGAUGCAUGUGUCACUAAAAAAGCAAGCACUUUCUCAAACUGACAAGCUUUAAUGUGAUUGGUUGACUACUAUGUUACUUCUAAAGACCAAAGCAUACUUCAUUCAUGGAGUCGAAGGCAUAGCCUUUCAAAGUUUACUCCAUUUAAUAGCGUGCGCUAACACAGGCGGUCGACAAGGCAUUACUCCGGUAUUAUGUUGUUGUUGUUUUGUCUCUUUAGUUUUGUUUUCUACUGUGAAACAACAGUGCGGCCCAGUGCUGCCACCUUGUGGAACAACUGAUUAGUGCAAAACCAAGUCAACGUGCAUGUUUUACAAAAAUCAAAGGGUGUGCGUACUGUUUUAGUGAUGAAAUUUGUGUCAUUAAGGGUGUAUGAAUACAGCAAUCGCACUCGGGUGCAGACCAAACAAUUGUACCGAGACCCAGCUGAAGAGGUGGUCUCGGUCCAGUUCCAAACAAACUCUGGUAUGGUUGGAUAGAUGAAGUUUUAAAUUUAUAUAAAAUUAAUAGUAGUAAUAAAUAAAUAAUACAUAACGUGGAUUCUAUAUUUAAUACACAAUAUGAUCUUAUAACUUGUUAUUAACUUUCUAUUUACAAUGUAAUAUAAUGUAAUAUAAUAUGUAACCACAUGAUUAUACAAUGAUGGUUUUAUAUCUGUGUCAGUUCUGAUUGGGAAUAAACUGUAUGUGUGUG
ensembl:lncRNA